CCAGCAGCCGCGGUAAUUCCGGCUCCAAUAGCGUAUAUUAAAGUUGUUGCAGUUAAAACGCUCGUAGUCUGAUGUAAUGGGGACUGGUGUGGGGAGCAGCAAUGCUCUUUGCUUCGGUCUUCAUCAACGGGACAGCAAUGUCCCAUUUUACUUUGAGAAAAAUAGAGUGUUCAAAGCAGGCGUUUGCCUUGAAUACAUUAGCAUGGGAUAAUGGAAUAGGACAUUGGUUCUAUUUUGUUGGUUUACGGACCGAUGUAAUGAUUAAUAGGGACAGUUGGGGACAUUCAUAUUCCAUGGCUAGAGGUGAAAUUCUUGGAUUCAUGGAAGAUGAACUACUGCGAAAGCAUUUGUCAAAGAUGUUUUCAUUGAUCAAGAACGAAAGU
rnacentral:rRNA from 1 species